CCUGAUACAGCUGAAAACCCAUCAAGCCAAGCCCACUGCUAUGAGGACCAAGAGAACCUAUAUAAAGGCCAGCAGCAGAUUUUUACUGGGUUUCUGUCAGUUUCUGUCUCGACCGGAUCACCACAGUCCACCAUCGGCCUGACAUUGAUUAAUCAUUCUGUUUUAUUGUGAGGAUAAAGUACAACAGUAGCAGCCAUGUCUCAUGUAUGGGGAUACGGUACAACUAAUGGACCUGACAAAUGGGUAAAAGAUUUUCCUGUGGCCAACGGGCCCAGACAGUCUCCUAUCAACAUUUCACCCAAACAGGCCCAAUAUGAUUCCUCUUUGAGGGCUCUGGAACUCAACUAUGAUCCCUUCAACGCCAAGGGUAUUCUCAACAACGGUCACUCCUUCCAGGUGGAUUUUGUGGAUGACUUAGACAGCUCGACCUUGAAUGGAGGCCCCAUUUCAGGAACAUACCGUCUGAGACAGUUUCAUUUUCACUGGGGAGCCAGUGAUGACAGAGGCUCUGAACACACUGUCAAUGGCAUCAACUUUCCCUGUGAGCUUCACCUGGUGCACUGGAACACAAAGUACCCAAGCUUUGGAGAGGCAGCCAGCCAGCCUGAUGGACUUGCUGUAGUUGGAGUCUUUCUCAAGAUUGGUGCUGCCAACCCCAGACUUCAAAAAGUUUUGGAUGCUUUGGAUGUCAUUAAGACAAAGGGAAAGCAGACUACUUUUGCUAACUUUGACACAAAGACUCUUCUACCAGUUUCACUGGAUUAUUGGACCUACGAUGGCUCUCUGACCACACCCCCCCUGUUGGAGAGUGUCACCUGGAUCGUCCUCAGGGAGCCAAUCAGUGUCAGCUCUGCACAAAUAAAACUACGGUGGUCCUGAAACCUCAACGCACUGCAACUAAAUGAAACACAUGCAAGUGGACAAAACACAAGCAAAAUGGCCAAGUUCCGCAGCCUUCUCUUCACCGGGGAAGGUGAAGCUCCAUUCUGCAUGGAAGACAAUUAUAGACCCCCUCAGCCUUUGAAGGGCCGUCGGGUCCGCGCUUCCUUCAAAUGAACCCAGCUUCAUCAACACAGUUCCCUUGCCCUUUUGCUUAUUGGUCAAGCCUUUCCUUAACCUUCUUACUCCCAUUUUAUUGUUUUCUAGAUGCAGUCUUUAUUCAACCCUUAGUACUCUUUAGGUAUCAACUUGAAAAGUAGAGGAACAAUAUACCUACAUAUACAUGGACAACAGACAUUACAUAGACGUAAAUAAUGUUUAAAAAUUGUAUUAAAUGUGAUUCUUAUUCUUUGACAAUAUAGAGAACACACAAAAAUGCCAACAUUUAAAAAUGACAUUACAUUUUCCAGUCUAACAUGGGUAGCAGGGGACUACCAAAAAUGGGACGGGAAUUCUGAACCUUGAUCUCCCCCUGUUGUAAAUCUUAUUUUCUCUGGCCAGGCUUUAAGUAACAAUCUAUAGUGCCCAUGUAUGUGCGACAAGACAUUCUUAGGCCCAAUCCCAUUUCACCCCUUGGCCCUCCCCCUUCAUUUUGCACGUUCACAUGUAGGGAUAGGCUUUCCCAAUAUUUGUUGGGACCGAUAGUAAGUGGCGAAGGAUAGAGCUCUAUACCCCUCCCAACGGAUAUUUUUCAGACCCUCACUUCUAACGGAGGGGUACCAAGAAUGCAAAUUGUUAGAGUCCCACAAAUGUGGUAUUUUCUCCAUUAAUAAAGAUACAAAAAUUACGAAAACGAUUGUAAUAUCUUAGUUUUAUAUCAUUUCAAUGUAUUAUGGUCAAAACCUUAAAAAAAAGAUUGCGAUCGCUCUAGCAUUACCAUACUACUGUAGCAUGCCAGCGAUCUUUUAUUGCAUUGUCUACCGACCCAAAAACUCUGGAAAAAAACAACUCCCGCGAUUUGUUAUGGUUCCUCUAUUUUAGAAACGUCAUGCUUGAGUGACUGCGAAUGAGCUUCCUUAUGCUUCCCUCGUUACAAGCCAAAUGGGAGUCUCUCUUACAUGGCCUUGCCCCCUCCGACCCCCAUCUCAUCCCCCCGCCGCCCCAACACUCAUUAUAGAUACGAUAUUUGCCAAAGCACUUCACUUCGUUUUUGCAAACCUGAAGCUGAAGCUGGCUCAUGAGCAUUUAAAGGACCAGGCUCUCAAAACAGGUCAAUCUGAGGAGGGGUGUUUUAGACAGGGUAAACAUGGUGCUGGUUUAAAUUAUCGUUGUAUUUUGACCAAAAUAUGUUACAGACAUUUCAUUAAGACCCCAAGGAACCAUAUCAACUUGUGGUAAAUGGGCAUAAUAUGUCCCCUUUAAUAAUAUGCUUUACUUUGUUUGAAACUGAAAGCUUCAAUGAGUUUCCUAAAGCUGUUCCCGCUCUUUCAGUUGCUGAGAUUGUUAAAGCAAAUGUUUUUAUUGAUGGCUCAUUUUGACAGUUUGAGAAAAAUGUAUAACAACCACAAUGGCAGAAUUACAGAAAAGAUAUUAUUCAGGGGGCCACUGCCAAUCAACUGAUAAUUAUGCAAGUGUUUUAAAACUCAUAUCAAACAGACCUGUAAUGGUGGAAAAAUAAAUAUAUUUAAUAUCCCACACUCAAUAUCCAAUAAAUGAAUUCUGCAAUGAUUCAUUGUCAUUUGGAGCCAUAGUCUGCACCUGUCAGAGAUUGGAGGAGGGAUGAAGUAGGGAUGGGCGGCUGUGUCUUAGAUAGGGGUUAACUUAAUUUGUUUACACAAGCUAAAGUAUCAGCAUAUUUCAUUAAAAUAUUAUACAUUGUCAACAAUAUGCAGACUUGACAGCUGUCACAAUACGAAUGGAAAGACAUUUUGUUUUAAUCUGUCAUGGUAUUUAAGGUGAAGAAUGUAUCAAUUAAAACUCUUUAAAUAAA